rnacentral:rRNA from 1 species
AGUGAACGCUGGCGGUAGGCCUAACACAUGCAAGUCGAACGGCAGCACAGUAAGAUCUUGCUCUUACGGGUGGCGAGUGGCGGACGGGUGAGGAAUACAUCGGAAUCUACUUUUUCGUGGGGGAUAACGUAGGGAAACUUACGCUAAUACCGCAUACGACCUACGGGUGAAAGCAGGGGAUCUUCGGACCUUUCGCGAUUCAAUUAGCCGAUGUCGGAUUAGCUAGUUGGCGGGGUAAAGGCCCACCAAGGCGACGAUCCGUAGCUGGUCUGAGAGGAUGAUCAGCCACACUGGAACUGAGACACGGUCCAGACUCCUACGGGAGGCAGCAGUGGGGAAUAUUGGACAAUGGGCGCAAGCCUGAUCCAGCCAUACCGCGUGGGUGAAGAAGGCCUUCGGGUUGUAAAGCCCUUUUGUUGGGAAAGAAAAGCAGCAGGUUAAUACCCCGCUGUUCUGACGGUACCCAAAGAAUAAGCACCGGCUAACUUCGUG